rnacentral:rRNA from 1 species
UACGGAGGGGGCUAGCGUUGUUCGGAAUUACUGGGCGUAAAGCGCGCGUAGGCGGCUUUGUAAGUUAGAGGUGAAAGCCCAGAGCUUAACUCUGGAAUUGCCUUUAAGACUGCAUCGCUUGAAUCAUCGAGAGGUGAGUGGAAUUCCGAGUGUAGAGGUGAAAUUCGUAGGUAUUCGGAAGAACACCAGUGGCGAAGGCGACUCACUGGACAUGUAUUGACGCUGAGGUGCGAAAGCGUGGGGAGCAAACAGG